rnacentral:rRNA from 1 species
AGUGAACGCUGGCGGUAGGCUUAACACAUGCAAGUCGAACGGCAGCACAGUAAGUGUUUGCUCUUACGGGUGGCGAGUGGCGGAAGGAAGAGGUAUACAUCGGACUCUUCUUUUUCGUGGGGGUUAACGAAGGUAAGCUUAAGCCAAUACCGCAUAUGAUCUUCCGGUGUAAGCAUGGGAAAUUUUCACCUUGUGCGAAUGAAUUCGCGGCUGUCGGCUUGGCUAGUUGGGGGGGUAAUGGCCCACCAUGGCGACGAUCCGUGGCUGGACUGAGAGGAUGAUCAGCCACACUGGAGGUGAGACACGGUCCAGACUCCUGCGGGAGGCAGCAGUGGGGAAUGUUGGACAAUGGGCGCGAGCCUGAUCCAGCCAUACCGCGUGGGUGGAGAAGGCCUUCGGGUUGUAAAGCCCGUUUGUUGGGAAAGAAAAGCAGCAGGUUAAUACCCCGCUGUUCUGACGGUACCCAAAGAAUAAGCACCGGCUAACUUCGUG